rnacentral:rRNA from 1 species
GGAUGAGCUCAAUAUGGAAAUUGUGUUUGGCUUUGAAUUGUAAUCUCAAGAUGCAUUGCUAACUGGGGCGUAGGUGAAAGCCCUGAAAAGAGAAUCAUUGAGGGUGAGAAUCCUGUUUGUCAUCUACAGUCCUCCGUGUACGGCAUGCGUCUAAGAGUCACGUUCCUCGGGAUUGGAGCGCAAACUGGGUGGUAAAUUUCAUCUUAAGCUAAAUAAGGGUUCGAGACCGAUAGCAAACAAGUACCAUGAGGGAAAGAUGAAAAGGACUUUGAAAAGAGAGUUAAAAGUGCCUGAACUUGCUGAAAGGAAAGCGGAUGGAACAGUGUUGCUUGGCGAGAUUGUUGCGUGCGAAAGUGAUUGCUUUGCAUCAGCGCAAGCGGUGCUGUGGGUUUUAUCUGUGUCGCGAUGCUUCUUGCCUCGUGUGUCAUCGUCAGUGUGCUGGUGAGGACCUUGGGACAUGGUAGCCUGCCCCUGGGCGUGCGAAUGU